rnacentral:rRNA from 1 species
GACGAACGCUGGCGGCGUGCUUAACACAUGCAAGUCGAACGGAAAGGCCCUGCUUUUGUGGGGUGCUCGAGUGGCGAACGGGUGAGUAACACGUGAGUAACCUGCCCUUGACUUUGGGAUAACUACAGGAAACUGGGGCUAAUACCGGAUAGGAGCUCCUGCUGCAUGGUGGGGGUUGGAAAGUUUCGGCGGUUGGGGAUGGACUCGCGGCUUAUCAGCUUGUUGGUGGGGUAGUGGCUUACCAAGGCUUUGACGGGUAGCCGGCCUGAGAGGGUGACCGGGCACAUUGGGACUGAGAUACGGCCUAGACUCCUACGGGAGGCAGCAGUGGGGAAUAUUGCACAAUGGGCGGAAGCCUGAUGCAGCAACGCCGCGUGCGGGAUGACGGCCUUCGGGUUGUAACCCGCUUUCGCCUGUGACGAAGCGUGAGUGACGGGAAUGGGUAAAGAAGCACCGGCUAACUACGUG